GAGACUAUAGUAUAAUUUAGUAUAAUUUAUUUUCAAUAAAUAGGUAAUAAGUCUUA
rnacentral:tRNA from 1 species